rnacentral:rRNA from 1 species
AUGACCGAUGAUAAAGAUGAGAUGGAAGCUUUGACAACCUCAUUCUACAAAGAGCUAUACACCUCUGAAGGAGUGCAGGACAUGGAUCAUGUGCUCAAUACUGUUCCAGUAAAGGUGACUGCAGCUAUGAAUGAAUCCUUGAAUGCCCCGUAUACUCAGGAAGAAGUCAAGCUAGCUUUGUUCCAGAUGUUCCCCAUUAAGGCGCUGGGUCCCGACGGAUUUCCAGCACAUUUUUUCCAGCGACACUGGGACGUGUGCGGAGACGAGGUAACUAGAGUGGUUCUGAGGAUUGUGGAGGGCUCUGAGUCGGCGGAGUGCAUAAAUAACACCAUCCUAGUUCUUAUACCUAAGGUAAAAAAAUCCCACACUUUUGUCGCAAUUUCGCCCAAUCAGUUUGUGCAAUGUGUUAUACAAAAUAGCUUCGAAGGUGAUUUCUAA